rnacentral:rRNA from 1 species
UACAGAGGUCUCAAGCGUUUGUUCGGAUUCAUUGGGCGUAAAGGGUGCGUAGGCGGCGCGGUAAGUCGGGUGUGAAAUCUUGGAGCUUAACUCCGAAACUGCAUUCGAUACUGCCGUGCUUGAGGACUGGAGAGGAGACUGGAAUUUACGGUGUAGCGGUGAAAUGCGUAGAUAUCGUAAGGAAGACCAGUGGCGAAGGCGGAUCUCUGGACAGCUCCUGACGCUGGAGGCGCGAAGGCUAGGGGAGCGAACGGG